AUAAGCCACGCCUAUUGUGGUUAUUACAACUCCGCCCAUUUUAAUAAUUAUCCGCGCCCAUCACUCCUUAUUGUGUACAUGACUGUGUAUGAUUUUUCCUUAGAAUCCUUCCUCUCUUGAAUGCAAGUUUCCCUCCUUGCAAAAAGACGGAGCCCACUCGCAAUUAAAGCAAUCCCAGUCAAGAAGAUAGAAAACCACCAUUACUCUCACCCUAAGCUCUGUCUUUAAAUUAUGAAGAAAUCCAAUUCCACCAGUAUGAUAUCGGACUUUCUCCACCAUCACCAUGGCAACGGAGAGGAACGUGGGGUCGGGCGGAGUGGAGGAGGAGAGAGGGGCAGUCAUAUCGGAGCCGGUCUUCAAGGUCGACGGAAUAUUUCGACUAGUAAUGCAUCUCUUCCCGGGGAUAUCCCCGUUAAUAUAAUGCCUUGGGCAAGCCCUAUUAGACGCCAGCCACUUGCUUCUCCUCUCCCUUUGUCUCGAGUAAAUUCACCAACUUCGAGACAACAUCGUGUGGAACAACUGAGAAAAGAAGAAAGUGUUGAUGAGAGGGUUAGAGAGGUCGAGCAAGAUAGGUAUGGGA